CAGUCGCCACGGUAAUACGAAGGGGGCUAGCGUUGUUCGGAAUUACUGGGCGUAAAGGGCGCGUAGGCGGCCAUUCAAGUUAGAUGUGAAAGCCCUGGGCUCAACCUAGGAAUUGCAUUUGAUACUGUUUGGCUUGAGUUCGGGAGAGGUGAGUGGAAUUCCCAGUGUAGAGGUGAAAUUCGUAGAUAUUGGGAAGAACACCAGUGGCGAAGGCGGCUCACUGGACCGACACUGACGCUGAGGCGCGAAAGCGUGGGGAGCAAACAGGAUUAGAUACCCCGGUAGUCCCUGUCUCUUAUAA
rnacentral:rRNA from 1 species